AAAGGACGACAUUAGACGAAUCAUCUGGAAAGAUGAAUCAAAGAAGGUAAUAAUCCUGUAGUCGAAAAUGUUGUCUCUCUUGAGUGGAUCCUGAGUACGACGGAGCACGUGAAAUUCCGUCGGAAUCUGGGAGGACCAUCUCCUAAGGCUAAAUACUCUCUAGUGACCGAUAGUGAACCAGUACCGUGAGGGAAAGGUGAAAAGCACCCCGGAAGGGGAGUGAAAUAGAACCUGAAACCGUGUGCUUACAAGUAGUCAGAGCCCGUUAAUGGGUGAUGGCGUGCCUUUUGUAGAAUGAACCGGCGAGUUACGAUUUGAUGCAAGGUUAAGCAGUAAAUGUGGAGCCGUAGCGAAAGCGAGUCUGAAUAGGGCGUUUAGUAUUUGGUCGUAGACCCGAAACCAGGUGAUCUACCCUUGGUCAGGUUGAAGUUCAGGUAACACUGAAUGGAGGACCGAACCGACUUACGUUGAAAAGUGAGCGGAUGAACUGAGGGUAGCGGAGAAAUUCCAAUCGAACCUGGAGAUAGCUGGUUCUCUCCGAAAUAGCUUUAGGGCUAGCCUCAAGUGAUGAUUAUUGGAGGUAGAGCACUGUUUGGACGAGGGGCCCCUCUCGGGUUACCGAAUUCAGACAAACUCCGAAUGCCAAUUAAUUUAACUUGGGAGUCAGAACAUGGGUGAUAAGGUCCGUGUUCGAAAGGGAAACAGCCCAGACCACCAGCUAAGGUCCCAAAAUAUAUGUUAAGUGGAAAAGGAUGUGGCGUUGCCCAGACAACUAGGAUGUUGGCUUAGAAGCAGCCAUCAUUUAAAGAGUGCGUAAUAGCUCACUAGUCGAGUGACACUGCGCCGAAAAUGUACCGGGGCUAAACAUAUUACCGAAGCUGUGGAUUGUCCUUUGGACAAUGGUAGGAGAGCGUUCUAAGGGCGUUGAAGCAUGAUCGUAAGGACAUGUGGAGCGCUUAGAAGUGAGAAUGCCGGUGUGAGUAGCGAAAGACGGGUGAGAAUCCCGUCCACCGAUUGACUAAGGUUUCCAGAGGAAGGCUCGUCCGCUCUGGGUUAGUCGGGUCCUAAGCUGAGGCCGACAGGCGUAGGCGAUGGAUAACAGGUUGAUAUUCCUGUACCACCUAUAAUCGUUUUAAUCGAUGGGGGGACGCAGUAGGAUAGGCGAAGCGUGCGAUUGGAUUGCACGUCUAAGCAGUAAGGCUGAGUAUUAGGCAAAUCCGGUACUCGUUAAGGCUGAGCUGUGAUGGGGAGAAGACAUUGUGUCUUCGAGUCGUUGAUUUCACACUGCCGAGAAAAGCCUCUAGAUAGAAAAUAGGUGCCCGUACCGCAAACCGACACAGGUAGUCAAGAUGAGAAUUCUAAGGUGAGCGAGCGAACUCUCGUUAAGGAACUCGGCAAAAUGACCCCGUAACUUCGGGAGAAGGGGUGCUCUUUAGGGUUAACGCCCAGAAGAGCCGCAGUGAAUAGGCCCAAGCGACUGUUUAUCAAAAACACAGGUCUCUGCUAAACCGUAAGGUGAUGUAUAGGGGCUGACGCCUGCCCGGUGCUGGAAGGUUAAGAGGAGUGGUUAGCUUCUGCGAAGCUACGAAUCGAAGCCCCAGUAAACGGCGGCCGUAACUAUAACGGUCCUAAGGUAGCGAAAUUCCUUGUCGGGUAAGUUCCGACCCGCACGAAAGGCGUAACGAUUUGGGCACUGUCUCAACGAGAGACUCGGUGAAAUCAUAGUACCUGUGAAGAUGCAGGUUACCCGCGACAGGACGGAAAGACCCCGUGGAGCUUUACUGUAGCCUGAUAUUGAAAUUCGGCACAGCUUGUACAGGAUAGGUAGGAGCCUUUGAAACGUGAGCGCUAGCUUACGUGGAGGCGCUGGUGGGAUACUACCCUAGCUGUGUUGGCUUUCUAACCCGCACCACUUAUCGUGGUGGGAGACAGUGUCAGGCGGGCAGUUUGACUGGGGCGGUCGCCUCCUAAAAGGUAACGGAGGCGCUCAAAGGUUCCCUCAGAAUGGUUGGAAAUCAUUCAUAGAGUGUAAAGGCAUAAGGGAGCUUGACUGCGAGACCUACAAGUCGAGCAGGGUCGAAAGACGGACUUAGUGAUCCGGUGGUUCCGCAUGGAAGGGCCAUCGCUCAACGGAUAAAAGCUACCCCGGGGAUAACAGGCUUAUCUCCCCCAAGAGUUCACAUCGACGGGGAGGUUUGGCACCUCGAUGUCGGCUCAUCGCAUCCUGGGGCUGUAGUCGGUCCCAAGGGUUGGGCUGUUCGCCCAUUAAAGCGGUACGCGAGCUGGGUUCAGAACGUCGUGAGACAGUUCGGUCCCUAUCCGUCGUGGGCGUAGGAAAUUUGAGAGGAGCUGUCCUUAGUACGAGAGGACCGGGAUGGACAUACCUCUGGUGUACCAGUUGUCGUGCCAACGGCAUAGCUGGGUAGCUAUGUGUGGACGGGAUAAGUGCUGAAAGCAUCUAAGCAUGAAGCCCCCCUCAAGAUGAGAUUUCCCAACUUCGGUUAUAAGAUCCCUCAAAGAUGAUGAGGUUAAUAGGUUCGAGGUGGAAGCAUGGUGACAUGUGGAGCUGACGAAUACUAAUCGAUCGAAGACUUAAUCAA
rnacentral:rRNA from 2 species